rnacentral:misc_RNA from 1 species
GAUGAAGAACGUAGCGAAAUGCGAUAGGUAGUGUGAAUUGCAGAUGUAACGUGAAUCAUCGAAUCUUUGAACGCAAAUUGCACUCUCUGGUAUUCCGGGGAGUAUGCCUGUUUGAGGGUCGCCAAAUCAACAUCGAAAUUCAUUUGCUUUUGUAAAUGUUUAUCGGAUUUGAGCCGUCUUUUAUUUUUUUAAUUAAAGUGGCUUAAAAUGUAUUUUUUGGUAUCGAAAAACGUUAUUUUACGAUCAAAUUGAUUAAAAAAACAAACGUUUAGAAUGCCGUCUUUUAAUGUAAUACGCUUGACUGUGGUGUUAAUCAUAGUUUCAUUCGUAUACGAUUUUUUAAUUUUUGACCUCAAAUCAGGUAAGAACACCCGCUGAACUUAAGCAUAUCAAUAAGCGGAGGA